GAUGAACGCUGGCGGCGUGCUUAACACAUGCAAGUCGAACGGGAAUUAUUUUAUUGAAACUUCGGUCGAUUUAAUUUAAUUCUCGUGGCGGACGGGUGAGUAACGCGUGGGUAACCUGCCUUAUACAGGGGGAUAACAGUCAGAAAUGGCUGCUAAUACCGCAUAAGCGCACAGAGCUGCAUGGCUCAGUGUGAAAAACUCCGGUGGUAUAAGAUGGACCCGCGUUGGAUUAGCUUGUUGGCAGGGUAACGGCCUACCAAGGCGACGAUCCAUAGCCGGCAUGAGAGGGUGGACGGCCACAUUGGGACUGAGACACGGCCCAGACUCCUACGGGAGGCAGCAGUGGGGAAUAUUGCACAAUGGAGGAAAUCCUGAUGCAGCGACGCCGCGUGAAGGAAGAAGUAUCUCGGUAUGUAAAAUUCUAUCAGCAGGGAAGAUAGUGAAGGUACCUGACUAAGAAGCCCCGGCUAACUACGUG
rnacentral:rRNA from 1 species